rnacentral:rRNA from 1 species
UACGGAGGGUGCAAGCGUUAUCCGGAUUCACUGGGUUUAAAGGGUGCGUAGGCGGACAGGUAAGUCAGUGGUGAAAUCUCUGGGCUUAACUCAGAAACUGCCGUUGAUACCAUUUGUCUUGAAUGUCAUGGAGGUAAGCGGAAUAUGUCAUGUAGCGGUGAAAUGCUUAGAUAUGACAUAGAACACCGAUAGCGAAGGCAGCUUACUACAUGAAGAUUGACGCUGAGGCACGAAAGCGUGGGGAGCAAACAGG